UACGAAGGGUGCAAGCGUUACUCGGAAUUACUGGGCGUAAAGCGUGCGUAGGUGGUUUGUUAAGUCUGUUGUGAAAGCCCCGGGCUCAACCUGGGAAUGGCAAUGGAAACUGGCAAGCUAGAGUGCGGUAGAGGGUAGUGGAAUUCCCGGUGUAGCGGUGAAAUGCGUAGAGAUCGGGAGGAACACCAGUGGCGAAGGCGGCUACCUGGACCAGCACUGACACUGAGGCACGAAAGCGUGGGGAGCAAACAGG
rnacentral:rRNA from 1 species